UAAUGAGAAAUUUCAGAAAGAUAAGAAGCCUAAAGCUAAAUUUGAGAACAAGAAUGGUAGUAAGCAUGAUCAUAAUUUAACAGUUAGGAAGAAGUCCUUCAAAGGCAAGUGCAACUAUUGCAAGAAGCCUGGCCAUAAGUUGAAGGACUGUUUUAAGCUUAAAAAGAAGCAUGAGAAGGAAGGUAAUAGUCUAGAACUUGCCCCCCUAGCUCUAGUAUGUUUUGAAUCGAAUGUUGUUGAUAUUUCUUCAAAUUCUUAGUGGUUGGAUUCUGG
rnacentral:misc_RNA from 1 species